rnacentral:rRNA from 2 species
GUGAGUAACCUGCCCCCGACUCUGGGAUAACUGCUAGAAAUGGUAGCUAAUACCGGAUAUGACGACUGGCCGCAUGGUCUGGUCGUGGAAAGAAUUUCGGUUGGGGAUGGACUCGCGGCCUAUCAGGUUGUUGGUGAGGUAAUGGCUCACCAAGCCUACGACGGGUAGCCGGCCUGAGAGGGUGACCGGCCACACUGGGACUGAGACACGGCCCAGACUCCUACGGGAGGCAGCAGUGGGGAAUAUUGCACAAUGGGCGCAAGCCUGAUGCAGCAACGCCGCGUGAGGGAUGACGGCCUUCGGGUUGUAAACCUCUUUUAGUAGGGAAGAAGCGAAAGUGACGGUACCUGCAGAAAAAGCACCGGCUAACUACGUGCCAGCAGCCGCGGUAAUACGUAGGGUGCAAGCGUUGUCC